ACACAGCAUUCUAGAAACAGCAAGGCAUUCCCUUCCUCUGUUAUUUGUAAGCUGACAUGAGAUAGACGAACACCUUCUGAAGUUUUAUGCAUACUGUGUUUCCUCUCCUUGCUGCAACAAGAAAAGCCCUUUCUUUUAACCUGGCUGCCUUUGAAGAACUGACUCAUCUUCAUGGCCUCUAAAGAUGCACAGAAUCAGAGAGGUAGAAGUCUGCCUGGCUUUCUUCCCGGUGCUCUAGAACCAGAUCAAAGCCUUCAUACGUCAACUUCCAAUCCAGGGAACCAAGUAUGGCAGCCAGGUCUCUCUCCACCAGGCACUUUCGUGCCAACAGUGAGUCUCCCUCCUGGUCUGGAGUAUUUAAGCCAGUUAGACCUGAUAAUUAUACACCAGCAGGUGGAACUUCUUGGAAUGAUACUUGGCACUGAGACCUCCAACAAAUACGAGAUUAAAAACAGCUUGGGACAAAGAAUUUACUUUGCAGUGGAGGAAAGCAUCUGCUUCAAUCGUACUUUCUGUUCCACACUGCGAUCUUGCACCCUGAGGAUCGCGGAUAACUCAGGUCGAGAGGUGAUGACAGUAAACAGGCCCUUGAGGUGUAACACAUGCUGGUGCCCUUGCUACCUACAAGAGUUAGAAAUCCAAGCCCCUCCUGGCACUAUAGUUGGUUAUGUUGCACAGAAGUGGGAUCCAUUCCUGCCUAAAUUUGCAAUCCAAAAUGCAAACAAAGAAGAUAUUUUGAAAAUUGUUGGUCCUUGUGCAACAUGUGGCUGUUUUGGUGAUGUGGACUUUGAGGUGAAAACCAUUAAUGAAAAGCUUACAAUUGGGAAGAUUUCAAAGUACUGGUCAGGAUUUGUGAACGACGUCUUCACAAAUGCUGACAACUUUGGAAUUCACGUUCCUGCUGAUCUAGAUGCGACAGUCAAAGCAGCAAUGAUUGGUGCUUGUUUCCUCUUUGAUUUUAUGUUCUUUGAACAUUCACUGGCUGGAUUAUAACAAGCAAGAUGACGAAAAUAAAAUAUGCGGAACUUAUUUCAAAAUCCCUUGGGCUCAGGAUUUCAUUUCUGAAUGGGAGGGUGGGAACUUUAUAUUCUCAACACUAUGAAGAAAAAUAAUUCAGGAUAAAGAAACAGAAAGAAAUUGGAGGUGUUUUUACAUUUGAGCAGAGACCCCACCACCACCACCACCACCAAAUAAGGAAGCAAGUCAAAGAACAUUUACUGAGAAUUCUAAGAAGAUGGAAAAACAAGUGCAAAGUCUCUGAGUAAAGAGCAGGCUGGGCAAAUUUAGGGAACACAGGAAGUCUGUGUGACAGGAUUAUAGUGAGCAAGAGGGAGAAGGGUAUAAGUUGCAAGAGGAAGGUGGCUAGUGACUAGACCAUACAGCGUUUUGUAAGUCAUGGCAAGGAAGGGGAAUUAAAAUCUGGCACUUGAUUGGACAUGGACAUUAAGGUGUAUUAAGAACUCAAGAAUAACUCCUCAGUUUCUGUCUAGUGCCAGUGUCUGUUGCAGGAAUCUGAAAGUAUGGCAACACCAAAACACGUGCAAUUCAGAAUUACAGAUGCCAUGAUAAAAGAAUGUACAUGAAGGCAUGAAAGAGUAAGACUUCAACGCCAUUUAUGGUGGGUGGAUAGAAACUUUAGAGGGGAGGUAUCCUUCCCACUCCAUAAUAUCCUGAACAAAGAAGACUAAAACUGAUUACAUAAAGCACCCAUACUCCUCUACAAAACAGACAUUUUGGUACAUGAUUUGAAGACUCAGGUUACAGCCUAAACAAUGUAGAUAGCACUUCAAUGAAAUUCUGAUGCAUUUGAGCCUUAAAUAGAAGUUUAUAUACACAUAUAAUAAUUUUUUAUUAUCAGGAAGAGAAAAAACAGAAAAGGAAAUAAACUUUCAAGACCACAAUUUCCUCUUAUUCUUGUGUUUUUUGUUCUACGUCAUAAUCUCUCUAAUUGUUAAUUACGGGAAGAGGAAAAUAUUGUUUAUGAUAUUUUGACAUUCUCAUACUCAGAAAUAAAUUUAAAAAAUUUAAUUUUGUUUUUUAAUCUCUCCUUAUAUUUAUGCUUUGAAAUAUGUGAAUUAUCUUAGAAGGAAAAGUCUUUUGAAUAAAAAUUCUCUAAAUGCAAAUGGAUUUUCUUACACUAUGAGAUUUUUGCCAUAAAGGAGCCAGCUGGCUUAAGAUGAUCCAAAGUGCACAGAUGUUAAACACUUACUAGUUCAACAAUACCACCACCUAUCUCAAGAAUAACAGAACAAUAACCUUUUAAAAAAGUAUAGAACUUGAUUUACCAUAGUGACCCUUCAAUCAAUGUGUUUUUCUUUUUCAUCAU